GCUGACGACCGGCGCACGGGUGCGUAACGCGUAUGCAAUCUACCUUUUACAGGGGGAUAGCCCAGAGAAAUUUGGAUUAAUACCUCAUAGUAUAUGGCCUUGGCAUCAAGGCCAUAUUAAAGAUUUACCGGUAAAAGAUGAGCAUGCGUUCUAUUAGCUGGAUGGUAAGGUAACGGCUUACCAUGGCGACGAUAGAUAGGGGCCCUGAGAGGGGGAUCCCCCACACUGGUACUGAGACACGGACCAGACUCCUACGGGAGGCAGCAGUGAGGAAUAUUGGACAAUGGGCGGGAGCCUGAUCCAGCCAUGCCGCGUGCAGGAAGACUGCCCUAUGGGUUGUAAACUGCUUUUGUACAGGAAGAAACACUCCCUCGUGAGGGAGCUUGACGGUACUGUAAGAAUAAGGAUCGGCUAACUCCGUGCCAGCAGCCGCGGUAAUACGGAGGAUCCAAGCGUUAUCCGGAAUCAUUGGGUUUAAAGGGUCCGUAGGUGGAUGAUUAAGUCAGAGGUGAAAUCCUGCAGCUCAACUGUAGAAUUGCCUUUGAUACUGGUUGUCUUGAAUUAUUGUGAAGUAGUUAGAAUAUGUGGUGUAGCGGUGAAAUGCAUAGAUAUCACAUAGAAUACCGAUUGCGAAGGCAGAUUACUAACAAUACAUUGACACUGAUGGACGAAAGCGUG
rnacentral:rRNA from 1 species